UACGUAGGGUGCGAGCGUUGCCCGGAUUUAUUGGGCGUAAAGAGCUCGUAGGCGGUCUGUCGCGUUUGCUGUGAAAAUCCAGGGCUCAACCCUGGACCUGCAGUGGGUACGGGCAGACUAGAGUGAUGUAGGGGAGACUGGAAUUCCUGGUGUAGCGGUGAAAUGCGCAGAUAUCGGGAGGAACACCGAUGGCGAAGGCAGGUCUCUGGGCAUUAACUGACGCUGAGGAGCGAAAGCAUGGGGAGCGAACAGG
rnacentral:rRNA from 1 species